rnacentral:rRNA from 1 species
AUUGAACGCUGGCGGCAGGCCUAACACAUGCAAGUCGAGCGAGCGGCGGACGGGUGAGUAAUGUCUGGGAAACUGCCUGAUGGAGGGGGAUAACUACUGGAAACGGUAGCUAAUACCGCAUACCAUCAGAUGUGCCCAGAUGGGAUUAGCUAGUAGGUGGGGUAACGGCUCACCUAGGCGACGAUCCCUAGCUGGUCUGAGAGGAUGACCAGCUGCAGUGGAACUGGGACACGGUCCGGGCUCCUACGGGAGGCAGCAGUGGGGAAUAUUGGGCAAUGGGCGCGAUCAGGAUGCAGCCAUGCCGCGUGUGUGGAGAAGGCCUUCGGGUUGUAAAGCACUUUCAGCGGGGAGGCGUUACCCGCAGAAGAAGCACCGGCUAACUCCGUGCCAGCAGCCGCGGUAAUUC